rnacentral:rRNA from 1 species
CAGUAGCCGCGGGAAAACGUAGGGUGCAAGCGUUAAUCGGAAUUACUGGGCGUAAAGCGUGCGCAGGCGGUUUUGUAAGACAGAGGUGAAAUCCCCGGGCUCAACCUGGGAACUGCCUUUGUGACUGCAAGGCUAGAGUACGGCAGAGGGGGAUGGAAUUCCGCGUGUAGCAGUGAAAUGCGUAGAUAUGCGGAGGAACACCGAUGGCGAAGGCAAUCCCCUGGGCCUGUACUGACGCUCAUGCACGAAAGCGUGGGGAGCAAACAGGAUUAGAUACCCCCGUAGUCCCUGUCUCUUAUAC